rnacentral:lncRNA from 10 species
GGAGCUACGGUACACAAGCACAGGUUCACAUUUAUGAAGCAGCCAAUAAGAAUUCCCAGCCUGAGAGGACCUUGGAACCAGAAGGAAUUGGAGGAGAUUUAAACAAGCUGACCCAAGGAAAGCACAAGAUCUUUCUAUGCAUUGAAGAUCACCAAAUCAAAGAUAAAAGUGCUCGACCAUUAUGGCCUAUGGCAAACUCGGGCUGGCUGAAGCAUCCUUCUCUUCCAUUUAGAACCCUGGUGAGGCCCCUUAGACCACCACUGGGCUGUCCUCCUCCCUCCUCAGAGACAGAGUUCUGGGCUGGGCCAUGGAGGUGUCUGUCAACACGGCAGUAGUCCUCGUUCUAUGGAAAACCAGCUGUUCCCUGUGACACGACUCCAUUCCCGCAGCUGCCUGCUAUUCAGCUGGGCUGACGGACAGCAGAGCACAGGGUUGGAAGACCACCCUCUCAGACAGUUUGAAAUCUCUAAAAGGCCGCCGUGUCCCGGCUUUAAAAAGAGGUGAAGCACAUCUCUCGGCACAUGCUUCUGCAUAGGUGAGGCCUCAGCGAGGCGUCCUGGCCCCUGAGUGGAGAUGCUCCCCUCAGCCGUGCCUCAGCUCCAGGGCACCAUCACGAGAGGCUUCGUUCAGGGUCUCCUGCCUGCGGACCACCUCUUACGUCUCCUCCUCACCUUCUGGUGUCGUCUCAACCAACUCAGACCUUCAGAUCAGAGGCCUUUGGUUUACCAAGAAGCUCACUGAGAGGCGACACAAACGGCCAAGAACAUGAAAAGACGGUCAGUGCCCUUGCAGAUGGAAGCAGGCAAUCAUUUUUCACCUGCAAGGCUGAUAAAGAUGAAAUGUUCUGAUAAUACAGGAAGAGUAUAAGGAAACUGUCACUCGAUGGACUCCAGGUGAAAUAUAACUAAUCCAGCUGCCUUGGAGGGAAAAGAUAUCUUUCAAAAUUGAAAUGACAGGAAUGGCAGCAUUAUGGGUGGGAGAUAAAGAAUCUGGGUUUCUUUCAGGGGUGAUGAAAAUGUUCUAAAACGGAUUGUGGUGACAGUUUUCCACAACUCGGAAUAUACUGAAAACCACCACAUUGUAUACUUAAAUGGGUGGGUUGUAUGGUAUGUGAAUUAUAUCUCAAUAAAAUUUUUACCAAAAGA